GUCGAGAAUCUUUCACAAUGGGGGCAACCCUGAUGGAGCGACGCCGCGUGGAGGAUAAGGUCUUCGGAUUGUAAACUCCUGUCAUGCGUGAACAAGGUUGCUUGGUUAAUACCUGGGCAAAUUGAUGGUAACGCAAGAGGAAGAGACGGCUAACUCUGUGCCAGCAGCCGCGGUAAUACAGAGGUCUCAAGCGUUGUUCGGAAUCACUGGGCGUAAAGGGUGCGUAGGUGGCGUGGUAAGUCAGAUGUGAAAGCCCGGGGAUCAACCUCGGAACUGCAUCCGAUACUGCCAUGCUAGAGUACUGGAGAGGUGACUAGAAUUCUCGGUGUAGCAGUGAAAUGCGUAGAUAUCGAGAGGAAUACCAAAGGCGUAGGCAGGUCACUGGACAGUUACUGACACUGAGGCACGAAGGCCAGGGGAGCGAACGGGAUUAGAAACCCUAGUAGUCC
rnacentral:rRNA from 1 species